rnacentral:rRNA from 1 species
UACGUAGGGAGCAAGCGUUGUUCGGAUUUACUGGGCGUAAAGGGCGCGUAGGCGGCAAUUCAAGUCAGCUGUGAAAUCUCCGGGCUUAACUCGGAACGGUCAGCUGAUACUGCUUUGCUAGAGUCCGGUAGGGGAGCAUGGAAUUCCUGGUGUAGCGGUGAAAUGCGCAGAUAUCAGGAGGAAUACCGAUGGCGAAGGCAGGUCUCUGGGCUGACACUGACGCUCAUGCACGAAAGCGUGGGGAGCAAACAGG